UACGUAGGGUGCGAGCGUUAAUCGGAAUUACUGGGCGUAAAGCGUGCGUAGGCGGUUCGUUGUGUCUGUGGUGAAAGCCCCGGGCUUAACCUGGGAAUGGCCAUGGAAACUGGCGAGCUGGAGUGUGGCAGAAGGGGGUGGAAUUCCGCGUGUAGCAGUGAAAUGCGUAGAGAUGCGGAGGAACACCGAUGGCGAAGGCAGCCCCCUGGGCUAACACUGACGCUGAGGCACGAAAGCGUGGGGAGCAAACAGG
rnacentral:rRNA from 1 species